UCAAUCUUAACCUUCCAGCGGUCGCGCGCGGUCUCUGAGUCCGCAACGAACUUUUUUUAGUCAAUAUACUGAAACUGUAAACAAUAGACGCUUGCGCUUCCGUGAUACCUUCGAGGGGGUGAGGUAGCACCUCUCAGUAGCCCUGUGACAUUCGUCGCAUUUACACGUGCUUUCUUAUUUGUGUUUGCGGUCUCAGAUUCCGCGCGCGACCGAUUGUGUUCCAGAACAAUCCAGUGCAAUUAAACCGAAGCCGAGACAAUGAAUUACGAAGACUUAGAACGUCGAAUAUCUCGCAUGUUAGAGGAGGUGGAAUCAGAAGAUGAGGUCUUUGAUGACGUUUCGGACCAAGAAGACGACCCUAUAGAAAUUUCACCAGCACAGGAUGAGUGUCUUCAAUCAGACGCAGGUCGUUGUUACUAUUGCGAUAGGAAAAAUAACCGCAAAACAAAGUAUAGUUGUUUCAAAUGUGGAAAACACAUGUGUCUAGAACAUGUGAUUGUUAUAUGCCGAGAAUGUUCAUUUUCAAUAGAUAUUAUGGACACUAAUGACGAAUAGUUUAUUAUAGGUUAUUCUAAACAAAAAUUAGUAGUUUUUAGGUAUGUUUUCUUUAUUUCAUUUUAUUAUAAUUUAGAUUAUUCUAGAACUUUACGUAAAACGAUCUCAAAAAUAGAUGUCAUUUUAGAGUUUCUAUUACACAGUGCCAAUUGAUGAUGAAUGUGAUUUAUUUCUAAGAUAAUUAUAGUCAAGUUUAUAAGUUGUUAAUUGUAAAAAAGAAAAUUCCAUUUUGUUUUGUUUAAUGUUGAUUUAUAACGGUGAUUUCCACCCAGAGUCAAAAAUUUUGAGUUUUUAUAGACCUUUGUUCUAUUAAGUACAAAUAAAAGAAGUAAUGAGUAA